GCAAAUUAUUCGAGUACGGGCAUACGAUAAUUCGGCAUUCCGCCAAUCAACUGGCCACACUAUUCGGGAUACGGCGAAUGUUUUGUUAGGUGAAUUUGUAAUUUU